rnacentral:rRNA from 1 species
CUACGGAGGGUGCAAGCGUUACUCGGAAUCACUGGGCGUAAAGCGCGCGCAGGCGGCUUGAUAAGUUGGAUGUGAAAGCCUACGGCUCAACCGUAGAACUGCAUCCAAAACUGUCAAGCUAGAGUCUGGGAGGGGAAGAUGGAAUUAGUUGUGUAGGGGUAAAAUCCGUAGAGAUAACUAGGAAUACCAAAAGCGAAGGCGAUCUUCUGGAACAGUACUGACGCUGAGGCGCGAAAGCGUGGGGAGCAAACAGGAUUAGAAACCCCUGUAGUCC